CCUUUCUAAGAGAAACGUGUAAAUAACAACGCGGGACAAGCUGUGAAAUUCAGCAGUAGCUGUUGGCUUCAAAGCAGGGCCCUGCGAUUGAUUGUCCAAACGGGAGUCCUGAUCCAGAGCUGUGGUCCCACGGGUUAAAUACAAGGACUUUAUUAUUCCUCAGCGUUGUUGCUUGCAGUCUUUUAACACAGGUUUGCUACAUUACUGCAUACAUCUUGAAGCAUCUUGAAGGAAAAGUGGAGUUUUUCCUGAAAACCUCAUUCUACCAAAACAACAACAAAAAAACUGAUACCACCACCAAAACCUCACCAAACCUGGCUGGCGUUAGUGAACCCAGGCUGAAGUCCCAAAACACGACACAGUUUCCAGCAUUCAUUGCUGUACUCUUAGCCCCUGAAGAUGACACAGGGAAUUGUACGAUGACGCCGAUGCAAGUAGCUGGCUCUGUGUCGCGGGGCUAGCAGAGCUACCAGGACUAGGGCUGUAGCUGACUGCCGUGCCAGCAGCAGAGCCACAGCACAAGUAGGCCACCAAAUUAACAGAUGUGCCCACGUCCUGCCAGUUGCUGUUUCUCCUGAUCCUCCGUCCCGGAGAGAAGGGCUGCGGGUCUGCUCCGACAGCUGGGGUGUCCUGAGGGAUAAUUUGCUGCCACUCAGUGGGAACAGGGUAGUUUGUGGCAAGAUGGGCAGCAGCAGGAGAGCAUCACAGAGAG